AACAGGAGCAAUGAAAAAAAUCUUGCAUUUAAAUGCUAAUGUCAUUUCAGUGUACUUGAAGGAAAAAGUUUCCAUAGACAGAGGUUGCCAUCCCAUUGGUCCAGGCUUUUGAAGGAGAAA